ACGACCGGAGCGACAAUGGUGGGGCUGCGAAACUCCGUUUUCGGCAUAGUUGUCAUGUAUCGUCUACUAAUGAAACUGAAACAACGCGUUUCUGUUUUCAUCUCACACGUUGGUUGCAGUAGCACCGAAUGUUUGACUUUAGUAAUCUAGGCACGCGGGCGUGCCCACCACUAGGGGCAAUGCGCUAAGAGGUUAAGACAGAACAGCAUUGUGGGCGUUUUGCUCUUAACUGCAUAACACCGUUUGAAUUUUCAGUAAUUAACUGGAAAUUGCUAUGGAUAUUGGGAAGCCGUUGGUUAGUAGUGGCGACAGAGAAUUUGCUAACAAAGCAAUGCCAAGUUUCGAGUGUCACACCUAAUAGGCUACGCGAAUUUAAAAGCAACCCUGUACUUUGAGUAUUUUUUGUUGCAGCUGGCUAGAGUGUCGCCGGAUUGUGCAGGUAGGCUACGUGCGUUUCGAAUUCAUCAAACUAGUUAGUAUCAUAACGGCCAAUCAUUCGCCAGCGAUAGCUUAGUAUGAAAGCAUGUUUACAUGUCAGUAUUGUGGUCACCAAUGCUUAACGAAGUAUGCGUUUGUUAGGCAUAUGAAAGUACAUGCGAGUCUUCCAACCGCGUUGUUUAAAUGCGCCUUUUUUGAUUGCUCCCGUUCGUUCAGAAACAUGACGCAGUUGGAAUGUCAUGUAUAUCGAGAGCAUAAAGAUAAGAGGAGAGCACAGGUAACUGCAAUCGAGUGUGUAUCUUGUCAUGUAGAAUUUUGCAAUGUUAGAUGCAAUGAUUUAUCCAGUUUAAACUCUCAUUUGAAAUCUCAUAUCGGAGAGGGCAGGGCCGUUUCUUGUCCAUUUCGUCAGUGUGGGAGAACGUUUUCAGUCGUCUCUUCCUUUAUUUCUAAUUUUUCCACAGUACACAAGUCUUGUACAGUAUCCAGUCUUCUGGGCCAUGUAACAGUAGGAACAGAGACGAGACUAACGGCAACCAAUGAACAAGUUGAGGAUGUUUCAGUGUUGGAGGGGGAUUUGACUGACGACGUAACGU